GGAGAGAUGGCAGAGCGGCUGAAUGCGCACGAUUCGAAAUCGUGUUAUGGCUGAUACCCAUACAAGGGUUCAAAUCCCUUUCUCUCCGCCA
rnacentral:tRNA from 1 species